rnacentral:misc_RNA from 1 species
AAACGCGAAAGGUAAUGCGAAUUGCAGAAUCAGUGAGUCAUCGAAUCUUUGAACGCACAUUGCGCCUCUCGGUAUUCCGGGAGGCACGCCUGUUCGAGCGCCAUUACAAACUCCAAGCGUGGCUUGAUGUUGGGCGAUGUCUUUUUGCGAGAGCGGAGACACGCCUGGAACGCGUUGGCGCCGCCGCCGGACCACGAGCGUAGCAAGACGAGAGUCAAUCGCAUCGAUUUGGAUUCCGACGGAGGUCCGCCAUGGGACUGCACUUUCGAGUGUAAGUUCACAACUUCUCUCAAGUUUGGCCUCGGAUCAGGCGGGGAUACCCGCUGAACUUAAGC